CAAUAGCGUAUAUUAAAGUUGUUGCGGUUAAAAAGCUCGUAGUUGGAUUUCUGCCGAGGACGACCGGUCCGCCCUCUGGGUGAGUAUCUGGCUCGGCCUGGGCAUCUUCUUGGAGAACGUAGCUGCACUUGACUGUGUGGUGCGGUAUCCAGGACUUUUACUUUGAGGAAAUUAGAGUGUUUCAAGCAGGCUUACGCCUUGAAUACAUUAGCAUGGGAUAAUAAGAUAGGACCUCGGUUCUAUUUUGUUGGUUUCUAGAGCUGAGGUAAUGAUUAAUAGGGAUAGUUGGGGGCAUUCGUAUUUAACUGUCAGAGAUGAAAUUCUUGGAUUUGUUAAAGACGGACUACUGCGAAAGCAUUUGCCAAGGAUGUUUUCAUUGA
rnacentral:rRNA from 1 species